UAUUACUUUUCUUGUUUUUUUUAAUGGUCCUCUAGGGUUUCUAGUGUAAGGGGCUUUCAGCGGCGCUAAGAAUAGAAAUGGAGGGCAAAAAAGUAAAUCGGCUAAAGUAGUUAGAAUUACGAAAAAAAAAAAAAAAAAAACCAAAUCCGUAUAUCGGGGUUGCUUUCGGCAUCCCGAAACAGUCUUACUGACACAUCUCUCUCUUUCUCCAUAAAAUUCCCGCCUUUUCCAUCCAAAGCCACGUCAAUUCCUUAUCCUUUCACUUUCAACGUGGCACUCGUUGCCACGCUGUCAUCUGUUUCCGACCAUUCCGAUCACAUCAUACGGCUCUCAAUCCAUCUAAUCGAACCACAAAAUCUGAGCAGGACCCACCUACCAAAUACAAAAUUUAAGAAAAUAAAAAAGAAUUUCCAGACUGUUCUUGCCCACGCUGAUGCGUGCUCUUAUACAAGAAGAGA
rnacentral:misc_RNA from 1 species